rnacentral:tRNA from 1 species
AGUUCCAUAGUGUAGCAGUUAUCCCAUCUGCUUUAUACACAGAAGGUCCUGGGUUCGAGCCCCACUGGAACCA